rnacentral:rRNA from 1 species
GAUGAACGCUGGCGGCGUGCCUAAUACAUGCAAGUCGAGCGAACGGACGAGAAGCUUGCUUCUCUGAUGUUAACGGCGGACGGGUGAGUAACACGUGGAUAACCUACCUAUAAGACUGGGAUAACUUCGGGAAACCGGAGCUAAUACCGGAUAAUAUUUUGAACCGCAUGGUUCAAAAGUAAAAGACGGUCUUGCUGUCACUUAUAGAUGGAUCCGCGCUGCAUUAGCUAGUUGGUAAGGUAACGGCUUACCAAGGCAACGAUGCAUAGCCGACCUGAGAGGGUGAUCGGACACACUGGAACUGAGACACGGUCCAGACUCCUACGGGAGGCAGCAGUAGGGAAUCUUCCGCAAUGGGCGAAAGCCUGACGGAGCAACGCCGCGUGAGUGAUGAAGGUCUUCGGAUCGUAAAACUCUGUUAUUAGGGAAGAACAUAUGUGUAAGUAACUGUGCACAUCUUGACGGUACCUAAUCAGAAAGCCACGGCUAACUACGUG